rnacentral:tRNA from 1 species
AAGGCUUUAAGUUAAAUAAACUAAUAGCCUUCAAAGCUAUAAAUAUUGAUAAAUUCUUUAAGCCUUA